AGAGUUUGAUCAUGGCUCAGAGCGAACGCUGGCGGCAGGCUUAACACAUGCAAGUCGAACGCACCGCAAGGUGAGUGGCAGACGGGUGAGUAACACGUGGGAACGUACCCUUCGGUUCGGAAUAACUCAGGGAAACUUGAGCUAAUACCGGAUACGCCCUUCGGGGGAAAGGUUUACUGCCGAAGGAUCGGCCCGCGUCUGAUUAGCUAGUUGGUGAGGUAAUGGCUCACCAAGGCGACGAUCAGUAGCUGGUCUGAGAGGAUGAUCAGCCACACUGGGACUGAGACACGGCCCAGACUCCUACGGGAGGCAGCAGUGGGGAAUAUUGGACAAUGGGCGAAAGCCUGAUCCAGCCAUGCCGCGUGAGUGAUGAAGGCCUUAGGGUUGUAAAGCUCUUUCGACGGGGACGAUAAUGACGGUACCCGUAGAAGAAGCCCCGGCUAACUUCGUGCCAGCAGCCGCGGUAAUACGAAGGGGGCUAGCGUUGCUCGGAAUCACUGGGCGUAAAGGGCGCGUAGGCGGCCAUUCAAGUCGGGGGUGAAAGCCUGUGGCUCAACCACAGAAUUGCCUUCGAUACUGUUUGGCUUGAGACCGGAAGAGGUAAGUGGAACUGCGAGUGUAGAGGUGAAAUUCGUAGAUAUUCGCAAGAACACCAGUGGCGAAGGCGGCUUACUGGUCCGGUUCUGACGCUGAGGCGCGAAAGCGUGGGGAGCAAACAGGAUUAGAUACCCCUGUAGUCC
rnacentral:rRNA from 1 species